GGCGGCAGGCCUAACACAUGCAAGUCGAACGGUAGCACAGAGAGCUUGCUCUCGGGUGACGAGUGGCGGACGGGUGAGUAAUGUCUGGGAAACUGCCUGAUGGAGGGGGAUAACUACUGGAAACGGUAGCUAAUACCGCAUAACGUCGCAAGACCAAAGAGGGGGACCUUCGGGCCUCUUGCCAUCAGAUGUGCCCAGAUGGGAUUAGCUAGUAGGUGGGGUAACGGCUCACCUAGGCGACGAUCCCUAGCUGGUCUGAGAGGAUGACCAGCCACACUGGAACUGAGACACGGUCCAGACUCCUACGGGAGGCAGC
rnacentral:rRNA from 1 species